UAUUAAAUUGUAUUAAAAAAUUAAUAUUUAAUUAAUAAAUUUAAUUAUAGUUUAAAAAUUAAUUAUAAAAUUAAUUUAUAUAUAAUUUUUUGAGAAUUUUAGUUAAAUAAAUAUGAUAUAGUAUGUAAAAUUAAUAAAUUUAAAUAAGUUUAAUUUUAGAAAUUUUUAUAAUUUAGAUAAAAAGUUGUGCCAGCAAUCGUGGUUAAACAAAUUAGGUGAAUUAAUAUUUUUAAAUUGAAAUUAAAUGAAAAUAUUAUAAAAAAUGUUAAAUUUAUAAGGUGAAAUUUAUUAAAUUUAAUAAAUUUAUAAUUUUAAAGUAAUUGAGUUUUUGAAAGUUUAUAUAAAACUAGGAUUAGAUACCCUAUUAUAGAAUUUAAAAUAAAAGUUUGAUUAUUAAAUGAUAAAACAUUAAAUUUAAAUAAUUUGGCGGUAUUUUAAUUUUAUUAGAGGAACUUAUUAUAUAAUUGAUAAUACACGAUAAGAAUAACUUUAAUAAAAAUUCUUAUAUUGUUGUUUUAAAGAUAUUUUUAGAAAACUUAUUUAAUAUAUUUAAUAAAUAAUAAUUCAAAUCAAAAUGAGGUGAAUAUUAAAGAAUAAAUGAGUUACAAUAAAUUUUAUUUAAAUGAAUUUAUAAUUUAAAAAUUAUAAUGAAGGUGGAUUUAAAAGUAAAAUAAAAUAAUUUUUUUAUUUGAUUUAAAUUUUAAAAUAUGUACAAAUUGCCCGUCGUUCUCUUUGAAAGAAGAGGUAAGUCGUAACAAAGUAAAAGUACUGGAAAGUGUUUUUAGAUU
rnacentral:ncRNA from 1 species